UACGUAGGGUGCGAGCGUUGUCCGGAAUUAUUGGGCGUAAAGGGCUCGUAGGCGGUUUGUCGCGUCGGGAGUGAAAACCAGGUGCUUAACACCUGGCUUGCUUUCGAUACGGGCAGACUAGAGGUAUGCAGGGGAGAACGGAAUUCCUGGUGUAGCGGUGAAAUGCGUAGAUAUCAGGAGGAAUACCGAUGGCGAAGGCAGGUCUCUGGGCUGACACUGACGCUCAUGCACGAAAGCGUGGGGAGCAAACAGG
rnacentral:rRNA from 1 species